rnacentral:rRNA from 1 species
UGGGGAAUAUUGCACAAUGGGCGCAAGCCUGAUGCAGCCAUGCCGCGUGUAUGAAGAAGGCCUUCGGGUUGUAAAGUACUUUCAGCGGGGAGGAAGGGAGUAAAGUUAAUACCUUUGCUCAUUGACGUUACCCGCAGAAGAAGCACCGGCUAACUCCGUGCCAGCAGCCGCGGUAAUACGGAGGGUGCAAGCGUUAAUCGGAAUUACUGGGCGUAAAGCGCACGCAGGCGGUUUGUUAAGUCAGAUGUGAAAUCCCCUGGCUCAACCUGGGAACUGCAUCCGCUACUGGCAAGCUUGAGUCUCGUAGAGGGGGGUAGAAUUCCAGGUGUAGCAGUGAAAUGCGUAGAGAUCUGGAGGAAUACCGGUGGCGAAGGCGGCCCCCUGGACGAAGACUGACGCUCAGGUUCGAAAGCGUGGGGAGCAAACAGG